AUGCGAGUCGUGAGGGUUCGGCCCUCGGCUGACGGCUCAGUAACACGUGGAUAAUCUACCCUUAGUGGGGGAUAAUCUCGGGAAACUGAGAAUAACACCCCAUAAUCUAGAUGCUGGAAUGCACUUAAUUGAAAACUUCAUAGCGCCUAAGGAUGAGUCUGCGGACUAUCAGGUAGUAGUCAGGGUAACGACCUGACUACCUACGACGGAUACGGGUUGUGGGAGCAAUAACCCGGAGAUGAUAUCUGAGACACGAUAUCAGGCCCUACGGGGCGCACAGGCGCGAAAACUUCGCACUGUGCGAAAGCACGACGAGGGGAUCCCAAGUGCUGGCUCGUUAAGUCAGCUGUUUCUCUGUCUAAAAAACAGAGAGAGUAAGGGCUGGGUAAGACGGGUGCCAGCCGCCGCGGUAAUACCUGCAGCCCAAGUGGUGGUCUGUAUUAUUGGGCCUAAAACGUCCGUAGCCGGUUCUGUAAAUGCCUGGGUAAAUCGUGUAGCUUAACUAUACGAAUUCCGGGUAGACUGCAGGACUUGAGAUCGGGAGAAGCUAAGGUACUCCGGGGGUAGAGGUGAAAUUCUGUAAUCCUCGGGGGACCAACCAGUGGGAAGGCGUCUAGCUAGAACGAGUCUGACGGUCUGGGACGAAGCCCUGGGGCGCAAACGGGAUUAGAUACCCCGGUAGUCCAGGGUGUAAACGCUGUCGCUUGAUGUUAGCUGGGCUCCGAGCCAGCUAGUGUCGGAGAG
rnacentral:rRNA from 1 species